UUCACCUCAUUGCUUCACAAUGUCUUCACCUACACAGACCUUCAGCUUCCUCCUCAUCUGGUUCUCAAAUCAGAUCCUGACGGGAGCAGCGGAAAAAACCUGCAGGAUGCCGACAAUGAUUAUCCUGUUUCUCCUCAUCUUGCCUCAGUUUCAAGCUAAGAAYGUGCAAUUUCAACCAACUGAUCCCAAAAUAGUCAACAUGGAGGACAAAGUGGAUUUCCACUGCCAUCACGACGACAGCAGUCUAAAUGUUAUGCUCUGGUACCAACAAACAGACACUGGUGCUAUAGAGCUGAUCGGAUACAGCUACGUCGGGAGUGAAGCGGUCCAUGAGAAAGACUAUGAAAGCAGGUUCAAGAUUACAAGAAAAGACACCCAGACAGGAGGCUUGAACAUCGACGGAGCCAUUGCCUCAGACUCCGCCGUGUAUUUCUGCGCUGGCAGUACACAGUGAUGUGGUUGAAUGAAACCUCAUGACUAAAAGUCCUACCGUUUCAUUCUGAUGCGUUUAGAAAAGCU